GGCCGGUUCGGUCCGGUUUUCUUCUUCUUUUUUUUUUUGUUUUCUCAAUCCUUUGAUAACUUUUGAUUUUGAACUCCGAAUUGGCCCCAAUAAAAUCCAGAAAAUUUGUAAAAUCAUGUUCUACCAUGAUACAACUUUUGGAAGUAGUUUCUCCUCAAAAUAAAAUAUGUAAAUAUACAUUUGCCCUAUAAAUGCCUUUAGGGCCAUAUAUCUGUUUAAAUAAAAUACUUUUUCAACUCCAAACAAUUAUCCAAAAAUUAUGGGAUAGCUCAUAUGUGCACUAAACCCCUUUUAUAUAUAACCUUUAAUGGUUUGAAGAUCCAAAGCUCAAAUGGGUGUAAACCCUAGGGUUUAAAAUGAAAUAAAGAAUCUUUCCAAAGCCUUUUGAGAUUCAAAAUUUGAAUUCAAAUAUGCAAUUGUGGCAUGAUGUUUAUGAAUGCAAUGCUCAUGUAAAGGUUUGAAAUUUUGGGAUGUUACAUCUCUCAAUCGAGUUCCUUAUUAUUUGUGUGUCUCAGUAGGGUUGGAUGGGUUUCUUCUUCACGGGGCAGCUACGAGUGUAGUGGCUUCUUGCUUUGCUUGAGAGUCUAUCAGACAACUCCGUAUAUAAACUUCUUGAUAACCUUUUCCUUGGUUUGGCCAUUUGUGGCGAUAUGUCAAUUGCUCCAAUACUUGUCUCAGAUUUUGUUCUCUAUGGUGGAGGAGAGAAUCUUCGAGAUAUCAUCCAUGACAUCUUCAAGCUGGCAUGGUGGCUACUAUUGUACAGAAACGAUGUGUAAGGUCAGACUAGUCAAUUGGAUCCAAACAUAAAGUGCAAACUUUCUGAUAAUAUCUUCGAGUGCCCAAUUCACUGUUCCGUUAUGGCCAUUAGUCCGUAGGCGGAUGGUAGUAUUGAAUUGAAGUCGAGUGCCGAAUGCUUCAUGCAAUUGGUUGCAAACUUGAACGUGAACUGUGUUCCAUGCUCCGAUAAUACCUUCUUUGGCACUCAAUGAAGACAAACAAUUCUUCUCAUAUCCAACUUUAUGCUAUCUUAGUUGGAAUGCAAUCGGCAACUUGCUGACCUUCAGUCUUGAGGUACAUAAAUGCUUGUUCUAAGCUUACAUGAGUUCAUCCAAUAGGGUCGACUUUACUUCCAUGAUAGCUAGAGAUUCUUUGGUACUACCCCCAAACUUGAGUUCUUGAAAUUACGCUUCAUAUUCUUCCAUCCAAUCAUACUUCUCCGUCUUCCAUGGUCUUGCAAUCUUAGAUAAUUCUUACUAGACCUUGGAGGGGUCUAUCCUAGCACAUUAUGUCUUGAGAGAACGAUUUCCUUAAUCCAGAACUUACACUUGCUGAACUUGACAUAGAGCU
rnacentral:lncRNA from 1 species